GGGGUCGUAGCUCAGUUUGGUUAGAGCGCCGGCCUGUCACGCCGGAGGUCGCGGGUUCGAGCCCCGUCGGCCCCGCCA
rnacentral:tRNA from 1 species